GAUGACGGCCAUGCCACCCUGAACAAGCCCGAUCCUGUCUGAUCUCGGAAGCUAAGCAGGGUCAGGCCUGGAUAGUACUUGGAUGGGAGACCACCUAGAAAGACAAGAUGCUGUAGGCA
rnacentral:rRNA from 1 species